UACAGAGGGUGCGAGCGUUAAUCGGAGUUACUGGGCGUAAAGGGCGCGUAGGCGGAUUGUUAAGUGAGAUGUGAAAUCCCCGGGCUUAACCUGGGAACUGCAUCUUAUACUGGUGAUCUAGAGUUUUGUAGAGGGUAGUGGAAUUUCCGGUGUAGCGGUGAAAUGCGUAGAGAUCGGAAGGAACACCAGUGGCGAAGGCGGCUACCUGGACAAAAACUGACGCUGAGGCGCGAAAGCGUGGGGAGCAAACAGG
rnacentral:rRNA from 1 species